rnacentral:lncRNA from 1 species
UCAUAAGCCUGGGGAUAUAAACCUAUGUAGUCUGGCUCUAAAGUACAAGCUCUUAACCAGUUUGGUUGUUUCUUCUUCAUGUUUGAGAAAAAAAAAAAAUCCCUAGGAAAACAAUUCCAAUCUGACACAAAAAUGCAUCAGGUAACCAACUGGGUAUAUCCCAAUGAAAUAAAAUCCUUCAAAAAAAGGCCCUAAACUCCCCCAGACCAUAAUAUAUGGUUUAAUGGAUAAUGAGGGGAAAAAAAGACCAAACAGUGGGUUUACUCAGUUAAGUUCUACCUAGGAAGAAUCCUGGCAAUAGCAGGUAAACGAGAAAUAAUAACCAAGACAUAACAACCAAAGGAUAAAUAUCUUUAAUACUUUGGUUUCUUCAUUUGCAAAGUAGAACCCUCUGGGAUGAAGCUUCCAGAAGAAGGAACAGGCAGCAAUCUUUGCUGUUCUGCAGCCUCCACUGGUAAUAACCAGGCAAACAGGAUCUGGAGUGGACCUCCAACAAAUUCGUGCAGACCUGCAGCAGAGGGGCCUAACUGUCAGCUUUACUACACCAUCCAUAUUUUAUUGUGUCAAGUUCCCCAGCUUGAUUGUCCAAUAUUUUGAAGAUGUUUCUCACAUAAGUUGCAUUGAAUUUCUUUUUUGAUCACAAAGUGUUACUGUAUGAAGAUCAUUUACCGAAAUAGUUAAAAUUUAAUGCAGAAUUGAUUUUCAGAGUUAUAAAAAAAUGGAAUUUAUUAUAGAAAUGGCUGUCAGGGAAUUUAAUAAAACUGACUCCAUCAGUUUUACAGUAAAUUACAGUAUAAUAUUUCUCCUAACUAGGGAAACUAUUCACAUUUGAAAUAUAGUCUACUAAAGCUUCAAUUAAAAUAUAAGUGUAUUACCAUUGGUAUUUAUGAGAAUAACACAUAAAAAUCAACAUCCAUGCUGAAAACUGAAAUAUAGUAACAGCCGUAAGAAGAGCUAUUUCUAAG